GAAGCUCAAGAUCAGCUGGCGAUGCCCGUGUGCUUGAAGUGAGCCCCAUGAAGAUGUGGUUAUGAGAAGUUUGAAGUAAAAACCUUGUGGCUUUUGCCACUCCCACACGUUCAAAAAAAUCCAUCGGGUUUGUUUCAUGCUGAGAAAACUGUUCGAUGGAUAUAUCAAAAGUGCCCCACUGAGUAUACUUCUUUGGCUCAACUACUUACUGAUCUCUCAGACCCAAGGAGUUUCAGAACUGUCAUUUCAGGGUAGCUGGCGAGGUCGUGAAUCCGUUCCAAGGACAAAAACCGACAUCGAUCUCUUGCUUACAGAGGGCUGAUUUGACCAGCUGGCAAAAUAACAAAAACAAAUCCUAAAGUACAGCGAAAGGCUAUCAGACAUUCAAUUACCACGGAAGAACAACAGCUGGACUGCAUACAGAGAGACAGAGAGAGAGAGAGAGAGAGGAGAGAGCGAAUGAAAGAAAGAAAAAGCAACAACAACCCGUGAGUGGCACAAUCCUGCAAAACACAAUUGUCAGGUCUCCCAUCACCCCAUUUCAGCGGCCUCCUGGGGGCAUGGCUCAAAUUUCUGGUCUUCUGUGGCAUUAAUACAGGCAUA